rnacentral:rRNA from 1 species
AUACGGAGGAUCCGCGCGUUAUCCGGAUUUAUUGGGUUUAAAGGGAGCGUAGGUGGAUUGUUAAGUCAGUUGUGACAGUUUGCGGCUCAACCGUAAAAUUGCAGUUGAAACUGGCAGUCUUGAGUACAGUAGAGGUGGGCGGAAUUCGUGGUGUAGCGGUGAAAUGCUUAGAUAUCACGAAGAACUCCGAUUGCGAAGGCAGCUCACUAGACUGUUACUGACACUGAUGCUCGAAAGUGUGGGUAUCAAACAGGAUUAGAUACCCUGGUAGUCCACACAGUAAACGAUGAAUACUCGCUGUUUGCGAUAUACAGUAAGCGGCCAAGCGAAAGCAUUAAGUAUUCCACCUGGGGAGUACGCCGGCAACGGUGAAACUCAAAUGAAUUGGCGGGG